CCGUCCCCUCCUCGCCCCGGCCUGUAACUGCUGCGGGGGCCGCUUUCUGGGCCCGCCCCUCCAGGCCAGGAGCCUUUUUCAAAAUGUGGCGGUGGCAGGGAAGGUUGUCUGCUCCAGAGGCUUCCCUAGAGUGAAGAGCUCUACUAUCAAUGAUUCAAGAAACGUUAGUAGGUGCCCAUAACUUCGGUGGUGGAGAUCCAAAAGUGAACAAGACAGUGUUCUGGCUGCUAAAUUCUUCUUAACUGGUUAUGCCUGGAGACCUUCACUUGGUUCUGUGCCAGCACUGCCCAUGAACUUCAUAGACUGUGAUCUUUGCUAAGGCCUAAAUGAAUGAAGUGCAGGUGCAGGACCGGAAGCAGAAGACAGAAAGUGGAGACCAGAUGUUUGAAGCUGGGUAAAGGCAGGGAUGGAGCAGGAACCGAGGAACAAACCUUGGAACUAGGCUCUGAGAUGUAUAAAGGCACAGUGAAUUCCUGAAUCAUCCUUUGAUCUUCCACAAGACUCAGUAUCACUGAUUAACUACAAUUUGAAUAUAGUUCAUCACUGAAGGAAUGAGUGAGUGAAUGAGAAAGUGAGCAAAUGAGGCCGUGGAGGUCACUUAAACCAGGGAUCAGGUUCAUAGAGGUCACCCAACACAAGAUGGAAUAGUCAAGUAAACCAAGUUUACGGAGUUAGACAAAACUCCAUAAGGCAAGGUCAACAAAGGCAGCUCUGACGGACUGUUCAAUCCUGACUUUAGGCUGAUGCUGGUCUCUACUCUGUCUUCCUCCUGAGAGUAGGGGGCCUGGGGGCCCUUAAAUAAUUGCUGGUGUUAAAAGGGAGUUCAAUAUUUUCAAGCAUACCUAGCUUCUGUUUGAAGAGAGACAGGGUAGAAGAAUUACCUGGAAGGGAUAGGGUACACACUGCCACCUCCAUUGCUAUAACGUUUUACUCUUGUCAACAGACUUUCACAUAUAUGCUCUUGAGUCAAGCACAGGAAGAAAUAAAUUUUGCUGCUGAAUUUGAAGCAAUUGGCCAUGGAAGCCAGUCUUCAGGGGCAUUAAAACAAAUGCCUAACAAAAGUUUAUUAUAAGGCACUUGCUCCACCUGAACUCAUUUCAUCGUUAGAAAAAAAUCUAAGAAGUAAAAAUUAAUAUCCUUCCCUUUUCACAAGAUGAUGGAAUCAAGAGCCUUAACAAGUUUUAAUGGCCUGCCAAGGGUCAUUUGUCAACUUCUGAGUCUAAUGUCUAUGUUCUACUCAUGACAUGGCAGUUGUGGUAUAGAGGGAUCUGAUACAUCAUGAAAAUAUAAACCCACAGAUUUUGAUUCUAAGAAAGUGACCCAAGUUGUGCUCAUUAUGGUUUUGCUUAAAAUUAAAGUUUAGAUUGAAAUGAUACCAGUUACGUGUUCUUAAAAACCUGCCAUGAUUUACUUUAGAUGAUGAUUGAGGACCUACUGUGUGCAAGCCACUGGGAUGAACAUCUUAUAUAUAGUUUUUUAUUUCAUCCCCAUAGUUAUCCUAGAGACAGGCAUGAUUCCCUUCUUCUUACAAGUGAAGAAACUAAGGCUCAGAAGCAUUGAGUGACUUGCUCCAAAUCAUAAAAUUAGUGGUGGAGAGAAAAUUUAAAGACAGGUUAUCUGGUUCUGGAAUCUACACUUUUACUAACUGCUCUCAAUGGCCUCUCCUUAGUAUUUGUGCCUUCAUUAAACAAAAUGUUUUGAAAACUUCCAGUGUGCCAAGUACUCUUUUGGGUGCUGAGG
rnacentral:lncRNA from 1 species